rnacentral:rRNA from 1 species
UACGUAGGCAGCGAGCGUUGUUCGGAAUUACUGGGCGUAAAGAGUGUGUAGGCGGUGCUCUAAGUUCGGUGUGAAAUCUCCUGGCUCAACUGGGAGGGUGCGCCGGAAACUGGAGUGCUUGAGCGUGGGAGAGGAAAGCGGAAUUCCUGGUGUAGCGGUGAAAUGCGUAGAUAUCAGGAGGAACACCUGUGGUGUAGACGGCUUUCUGGAACAUAGCUGACGCUGAGACACGAAAGCGUGGGGAGCAAACGGG